rnacentral:rRNA from 1 species
UACGGAGGAUGCGAGCGUUAUCCGGAUUUAUUGGGUUUAAAGGGUGCGUAGGCGGGAUGCCAAGUCAGCGGUAAAAAUGCGGUGCUCAACGCCGUCGAGCCGUUGAAGCUGGCGUUCUUGAGUGGGCGAGAAGUAUGCGGAAUGCGUGGUGUAGCGGUGAAAUGCAUAGAUAUCACGCAGAACUCCGAUUGCGAAGGCAGCAUACCGGCGCCCUACUGACGCUGGGGCACGAAAGCGUGGGUAUCGAACAGG